GUGAGUAUAGCUCAGUGGUAGGGCGCAUGCCUAACAUGCACAAGGUCCAGGGUUCAAUCCCCAGCACCCCCA
rnacentral:tRNA from 1 species